rfam:Danio rerio chromosome 4, GRCz11 reference primary assembly.
GGCGCUGUGGCUUAGUUGGGCAACGCGCCUGUCUAGUAAACAGGAGAUCCUGGGUUCAUAUCCCAGCAGUGCCU